AUGUGUGUGUAUGUGUGUGUGUAUCUCCAUAUCUAUCUAUUCAUAUACACAUACAUAUGCAUAUGUAAGUGUAGGUAGGUA
rnacentral:miRNA from 1 species